rnacentral:lncRNA from 1 species
GUAGUCCUGUAAGCGCGCGGAGCCCGUCGGGCGCCUAUGGAACUCGACCCGCAGGCCAAAGGGGCUCCGUUGCAAGGAAGAAGUGCGGGGUCCCGCCGCCUCCUAGACCGAGAUCGCGGUGAGCUGGCCGCGGCGCACAAUGGGCACGGCCUGGGCGGCGGCGUCCGUACUAUCGCCCUGUGCCUGCGGAUCCCGGUAACAUUGCGCGGCAGGCCCCAGGCCGGCCUCCCUCAGCUUCGCGGACUGUCUGGGCCGGGGGUCUCAACCUUGACUUCAGGGCCGGGCCGCUGGGGCAGACCCUUAGUGAUGUUCAGGUCCUCUGGGCCCCUGCCAGUCAAGGGACGCUCGUCGCGCGCCAAUUGUUAAGUCUUUCAUUGUUUCUGUAAACCUGCUGACGCCCUCCCAGCGCAUAGGGAGACUGCGCACGUGAGUCCGCCCCCGCGCGCACUGCGGAGAGGUAGAGGCACGAAUGUAGUACAAGGUACAAAAUGACUACUCCAGAGAGGGCCAGAUGACUAAGUCAGCAAACACUUAGGGAACACGACUGUGUCCGCUGCGCGUUUCCCGGAGUAGACACAAGGGUGAAUGAACAAAGAAUGGAUUUCGGUCACUGAAAGUGGAGAGGUAGCCGACUCCGUCCGUGGAGGCCCUUAGCAGAGCUGGAUCUGGUAGUCCCCCGGUCAUGAGGGGAGAUUCUGCUGGAGGAAAGAGGUCUCCAUUCCCACCGUUUGAAAUGUGUAGGAUGCCCUCAGAUUCUUUGGCCCAUUCAUAGGUAUAGCUAUGCUAAAAACGCGGGACCCUACAAUGUACUUAGCACUAGCAGAGAGGGAGUCGAGGAUAUGGACAGAGACUGCACUAGCUCACACAUUAGCAGGCCAGGGUGCGGUGGCUCACCCCUGUAAUCCCAGAACUUUGGAAGGUCAAGGUGGGAGGAAAACUUGAGUCCAGGAGUUCCAGACCAGCCUGGGCAACAUAGGGAGACCCCUUCUCUAUUUUAAAAAUAAUAAAAUAGGGCCGGGUGCGGUGGCUCACACCUGUAAUCCCAGCACUUUGGGAGACUGAGGCGAGUGGAUCAGGAGGUCAGGGGUUCAAGACCACCUAGCCAAGAUGGUGAAACCCCGUCUCUGCUGAAAACUGCAAAAAUUAGCCAGGCGCGGUGGCAGGCGCCUCAAGUCCCAGCUACUCGGGAGGCUGAGGCAGGAGAAUCGCUUGAACCCAGGCAGCAGAAGUUGCAGUGAGCCGAGAUUGCGCCAAUGCACUCCAGCCUGGGUGACGGAGUGAGACUCCGUCUUGAAAAAAAAAAAAAUAAUAAUAAUAAUAAUAAAAUGAAGAAGUAGUUAGCGGUGUCCUUUGGUCCUCAGCUUUGAAGGGCAAGAUCUUAAUUCAGUUCAACUACAGCUAAUCAGAAUUUGGAAGACUAAUUCAAGUCAGUCAAACUCACAAUAGCCCGACACUUAAACCCUGCCAGGGGACAUAGCUCUCUAGGAUUGCAAUGUUCCUAAUCCCUUCCUUCUAUUAAACUACCUAGAAACUGAUUUAGUCAUUAGAAAUUUCUUGGUAUGAUGGCUUUUAAACAUGCCCACAGUUUUUUUUGACAAUCGGCUCCUCAAAAGCAUAGCCAGGCGCGGUGGCUCACACCUGUAAUCCCAGCACUUUGGGAGGCCAAGUCAGGCGGAUCAUCUGAGAUCAGGAGUUCAAGACCAGCCUGGCCAACAUGGCGAAACCCGUCUCUACUAAAAAUACAAAAAUUAGCUCGUCAUGCACCUGUAAUCCCAGCUACUUGGGAAGCUGAGGCAGGAGAAUCGCUUGAACCUGGGAGGUGGAGGUUGCAGUGAGCUGAGAGCGUGCCACUGUACUCGAGCCUGGGCAACAGAGUGAGACUCUAUCUCAAAAAAAAAAAAAAAAGAAAGAAGAAAAAAAGGCCGGUCACAGUGGCUCAUGCCUGUAAUCCCAGCACUUUGGGAGGCCGAGGUAGGUGGAUCAUCUGAGGUCAGGAGUUCGUGACCAGCCUGGCCAACAUGGUGAAACUCUGUCUCUACUAAAAAUACAAAAAUUAGCCAGGCAUGGUGGUGUGUGCCUGUAAUCCCAGCUACUUGGGAGGCUGAGGCAGGAGAAUCACUUGAACCUGGGAAGCAGAGGUUGCAGAGAGCUGAGCUGAGAUUGAGCCACUGCACUCCAGCCUGAGCGACAGAGCGGAACUAUGUCUCCAAAAAAAAAAAAAGCUGGAGUUGGGUGGGUAUGGUGGUUCAUGCCUGUAAUCCCAACACUUGGGAAGCCGAGGCAGGUGGAUCACUUGAGUCCAGGAAUGCCAGACCAGCCUGGGCAACGUGACAAAACCUUGUCUCCACAAAAUAUAUAUAUAAAAAAAAAAUUAGCCAGGCAUAGUGACACACACCUGUAGUCCCAGCUAUUCUAGGAGGCUAAGGUGGGAGGAUCGCUUGAGCUCAGGAGGCAGAGGUUGCAGUGAGCCAAGAUUGUGCCACUACAGCCUGAGCAACAGAGUGAGACUCUGUCUCAAAAAAAAAAAAAGAAAAAAAAAAAACCUGGAGUCUAAUUCUAAUUCCCCUCCCAUUGAGUGUGGGCUGGACUUCACUGACUUUUUAAUAAAUAACAUGGGACAGAAGUGAGUGUAGUUGAUUUCCAAGGCUAGGUCAUAAAAGAUACUGUGACUUCCACCUUGCCCUCAUUUAGAUAACUCAUUCUAGGAAAGCUAGACGCAUAGUAGAGUUGUCAUGUGGUGAGGCCAUUCAAGCAGCCCUAUAGAAAGGCCCACAUGGUGAGGAUCUGAGGCAUCCUACCAGUAGUCAGGAGAGAGAAUCUUCUUGGAGGUGGAGCUUCCAUUCCUGGCGGAACCCUUGACCAAAACCUCAUGAACCACCCUGAGGCAAAACCACCCAGCUAAGUCACUCCUGAAUUCCUAACCCUCAGAAACAGGGAGAUACUGAAGGUUUGUUGUUUUAAGUCAUUACACUUUGGGAUAAUUCGUUAUACAGCAAAAGAUAACUAAUAUUCUUGGUGAUCAGGACUGUGUCAUACUUAGUGUUAUUAAUCUUCAGGAGUUUCAGCCUAAGUCAGCAGUGUUCCCCACAUGGGCCUGCCUUGCUUUCAUUCUUCCUCCAUUGUGGACUGAAUGCCAUAAGACCAUUCCAGCCCAUCCAAAGCAGGAACCAGAAAUGGGCUGGGUUUUGCUGUUGUUUUAGUUGGUUUGGUUUGUUUGUCUGUUUGUUUCGGGGAAAGAUGACAGAAGGUGCACUGUGGGAGAUUCCAACAUGAUUAUUGAAUCAAAGACUGUGUGUGUACGUGAUAAGUCUUUAUUAGAUUCUCUGGGUUCAUAAGCCAGUAAAAGGUAAGAACCAUCCUCUAAGGAGAAAUCUCACAGCUAAGGCUUGCCAUGUUAAAGAGUUUGCACUUCCAGGAACAAGGGCACUCACGUCUACCCUGUGCUAUUCUAGGUGUCUUCCCAUCCUGCCGGAUGCACGGAGCACAUAUUCUGCCACCCCUAGCUCUAUCCUUUGGGCAGUGCUGAAUAAACACUAACAAACUCAGGCUCUGUGGCUGACAUUGUAAGCAGAACCCCUGCCCUGCUGUUGCUUAACGCAUCUUUAUUUUGAUUCCCAGUCAUGUUACGACACAAUCACAUUAAGAUGUUCUUUCGUAUUCAGGUUCAGAAUAUUUGCUCUGCUCACUUGAUUGAAUUUGGAGACUUCCCAAAUCUUUAUAUGAGCACGUCUUCUGAGUUUAUCCAGAUUAUGUUUUGUACCGUCUGUUGUACAAAUGGACCGUGGAUGUUAAUUAGAAGGGCCUCGCCAGUCUUCAAUCACAUGUUACUCGUGGGGUUUGUUAAAUCAGCUUUUGUCUCAGAGAGGGCUUCGGUGCUUGGAUUACACUAUAUUUGGAAUUUGUAGCCUUCUAUGCGCUGACUUGCCCCACCUUGCUACCUGGCUUCAGAGGUCCAGGAUUCUCUAACUUGAGCAUCCAUCAGAAUCACCUGGAGGUCUCCUAAAAACCCAGAUUGAUGGCGCUCCCUUUGGAGUUUGGAUGUGCAUAUCUGAUCAGCUCCCCAGGAUGCUCAUGCUGCUGACCCACUUUAGGAAGCUCUCCUUUAGGAGUUAGCAUGUCUCUGAGCAGACGCUGGACCAGUAUGUUCUGGAGACCAUACACUUCCCAUCCCAGAACAGAUGCUGCUCCCUGUUCUCUAUCCCCAGCCCCCAGCCACACCUAUAUGACCACAGUUCUGUUCAACUGGUGCCCCAGCACUGAUAUCUGUGGGCCCUGCUCAUCUCAAGUGAGCCACAUUUUUCUCCCAGGCCUGCCUUGCUUUCGGUCAUCCUCAGUUGUGGCCCAAACCCCAUAAAACAGCAGCCAUUCCUGGCAGGAAUCCGAGGUGAGCCAGUUCUUUUCAGGAAAGGUAGCAGAACAGAAGAUACACUGUGGGAAGUUCCGGCCUCACACGUGUACAAGCUCGAUGCCCUGGACUCUAAGCUGCUUGAGGGCAGUGUCUCUCUGAUUCACCUGUCUCCCUCACAGUCCUGUCAUGCAGGAUGCCUUGCACAUGAUGGGUGCUCAGUUUACAUUAAUAGGCAGGUGAGGCCAGGCACGGUGGCCUGUAAUCCCAGCACUUUGGGAGGUGGAGGCGGGCAGAUCACCUGAGGUCAGGAGUUCGAGACCAGCCUGGCCAACAAGGUGAAACCACGUCUCUACUAAAAAUCCGAAAAUUAGCUGGGCAUGGUGGCACGCAUCUGUAAUCCCAGCUACUCGGUAGUCCGAGGCUGGGGAAUCGCUUGAAUCCGGGAGAUGGAGGUUGCAGUGAGCUGAGACCGUGCCACUGCACUCCAGCCUAGGCGACAGAGUGAGACUCCAUCUCAGAAAAAAAAAAAAAAAAAAAAAAGCAAUAGGUGAAUGACUGUUCAUACUCCUACUUUCUCCACAAACUUGCACAAAUGUGUCUGCAUCUAGAUGUCUGUAAACCUGCUAACACCCACACACAUUUUCUAUUAGUUAGGAUUAGGUUUGGCUGUAAGACACAGAAACCUCCAAAGAGCAGUGGCUUAGAUAAGAAAGAAAUGUGUUUCUCUCACAUAAACGAAGUAGUUGGGAGAGAACAACACAGCCUUGGUAUUGUGGUUCCACAAACUUGUUAGGUACCCAGGCUCCUAUUUUGCUCCCUCACGGCCUUCACUGCACAGCUGCCACUUCAUGGUCUAAGAUAGCUGCUCAGGCUCCAGCCCUUAUGUUCACAUUCCAGCCACCAGGAAAGAGACAAAAAGGGGUAUCCCAUUUCCCUACAGGUGCACUUCCAAGGAGUCUCUUAUACCACUUCUGCUUACACCUCAUUGGCCAAAACUUAACCACAUGGUCAUGCCUAGCAGCAAAGAAGGCUAGAAAAUAUAGCCUUAUGACUGGCUAAAAGUCAUGGUUGCUUUUCCACAUGAGAAGGAAUAAAGGAUAAAAGGAGGGAAACUGGCAUAUCCUACCUCACACCAGUAGGAGGCAGACGAAAGAAAAGAGAAGUUGGUUCCCAGUACAGGAAUGGCAGGGAAGCUGUGGCUGGAAGAACAGGGGUGGAGGAUGGCCAACAGGCCACAGAGAGAUGGGCAGGUCCCCCUGGCUGGGGUCAGGAAGGGCUUGCAGGAGGGUUUACUGCUCACUGUCUCUCUCUCUUUCUAUCUCUCUCCAUCUCUCUCAUCACACACAUACACACUCAGUCUUGCUGAGGGAGAAUUCUGAGAAGGUGGAGUUCUCUGUAGGGAAGGGAUACAUAUUUCCUACUAGUCAUGUUUCCCUGAAAAUGGGACUUCUGUUAAUAAUACUCCUGGCCUCUCUCUACCUGGGGAAGAGGAAACGUGAGUUACCUGAGAGAAGCUGGGAAGAAAGAACCAAGCAUACAUGAUUUAGUCCCCUCUCCUCUUUAGGAGCCAGCUGGUCCACCAGAAGUCUGUGUUCUGCCUGUCCCUGCAGCACGGAGGGCUGGGCUUUAUACCUGUGCCAAGGACACCAACGGCAGCAUCAGCAAGUCCGUGUUGUCUCCCAAAUAAGUGGUGUUCUCCAACAAGCUUUUAGCAGUAAUAAAGCUGACAUUUUUAUUCU